rfam:Rhodnius prolixus Rhodnius_prolixus-3.0.3-144.15, whole genome shotgun sequence.
UCAACGGCCCUUUUCAGGGCCACCAAGUUAAAUCACUUAAAAUUUA